rnacentral:rRNA from 1 species
GACGAACGCUGGCGGCGUGCUUAACACAUGCAAGUCGAACGGAAAGGCCCUGCUUUUGUGGGGUGCUCGAGUGGCGAACGGGUGAGUAACACGUGAGUAACCUGCCCUUGACUUUGGGAUAACUUCAGGGAACUGGGGCUAAUACCGGAUAGGAGCUCCUGCUGCAUGGUGGGGGUUGGAAAGUUUCGGCGGUUGGGGAUGGACUCGCGGCUUAUCAGCUUGUUGGUGGGGUAGUGGCUUACCAAGGCUUUGACGGGUAGCCGGCCUGAGAGGGUGACCGGCCACAUUGGGACUGAGAUACGGCCCAGACUCCUACGGGAGGCAGCAGUGGGGAAUAUUGCACAAUGGGCGGAAGCCUGAUGCAGCAACGCCGCGUGCGGGAUGACGGCCUUCGGGUUGUAACCCGCUUUCGCCUGUGACGAAGCGUGAGUGACGGUAAUGGGUAAAGAAGCACCGGCUAACUACGUGCCAGCAGCCGCGGUGAUACGUAGGGUGCGAGCGUUGUCCGGAUUUAUUGGGCGUAAAGGGCUCGUAGGUGGUUGAUCGCGUCGGAGGUGUAAUCUUGGGGCUUAACCCUGAGCGUGCUUUCGAUACGGGUUGACUUGAGGAAGGUAGGGGAGAAUGGAAUUCCUGGUGGAGCGGUGGAAUGCGCAGAUAUCAGGAGGAACACCAGUGGCGAAGGCGGUUCUCUGGGCCUUUCCUGACGCUGAGGAGCGAAAGCGUGGGGAGCGAACAGGCUUAGAUACCCUGGUAGUCCACGCUGUAAACGGUGGGUACUAGGUGUGGGGUCCAUUCCACGGGUUCCGUGCCGUAGCUAACGCUUUAAGUACCCCGCCUGGGGAGUACGGCCGCAAGGCUAAAACUCAAAGGAAUUGACGGAGCCCCGCACAAGCGGCGGAGCAUGCGGAUUAAUUCGAUGCAACGCGUAGAACCUUACCUGGGUUUGACAUGGAUCGGGAGUGCUCAGAGAUGGGUGUGCCUCUUUUGGGGUCGGUUCACAGGUGGUGCAUGCCUGUCGUCAGCUCGUGUCGUGAGAUGUUGGGUUAAGUCCCGCAACGAGCGCAACCCUUGUUCACUGUUGCCAGCACGUUAUGGUGGGGACUCAGUGGAGACCGCCGGGGUCAACUCGGAGGAAGGUGGGGAUGACGUCAAGUCAUCAUGCCCCUUAUGUCCAGGGCUUCACGCAUGCUACAAUGGCUGGUACAGAGAGUGGCGAGCCUGUGAGGGUGAGCGAAUCUCGGAAAGCCGGUCUCAGUUCGGAUUGGGGUCUGCAACUCGACCUCAUGAAGUCGGAGUCGCUAGUAAUCGCAAAUCAGCAACGCUGCGGUGAAUACGUUCCCGGG